AUUGAACGCUGGCGGCAGGCCUAACACAUGCCAGUCGAGCGGAGCGGCGGACGGGUGAGUAAUGCCUAGGAAUCUGCCUGGUAGUGGGGGAUAACGUCCGGAAACGGGCGCUAAUACCGCAUACUCUCAGCUGAGCCUCUGUCGGAUUAGCUAGUUGUUGGGGUAAAGGCCUACCAAGGCGACGAUCCGUAACUGGUCUGAGAGGAUGAUCAGUCAAACUGGAACUGAGACACGGUCCAGAAUCCUACGGUAGGCAGCAGUGGGGAAUAUUGGACAAUGGGCGAAAGCCUGAUGCAGCCAUGCCGCGUGUAUGAAGAAGGUCUUCGGAUUGUAAAGUACUUUCAGUUGGGAGGCGUUACCAACAGAAGAAGCACCGGCUAACUUCGUGCCAGCAGCCGCGGUAAUUC
rnacentral:rRNA from 1 species